UAGGUCUCAGUUCGGAUUGAAGGCUGAAAUUCGCCUUCAUGAAGCUGGAAUUGCUAGUAAUGGCAGGUCAGCAUACUGCCGUGAAUACGUUCCCGGGCCUUGUACACACCGCCCGUCACACCAUGAGAGUUGGGAAUACCCGAAGCCUGUGAGCUAACUGUAAGGAGGCAGCAGUCGAAGGUAGAAUCAAUGAUUGGGGUGAAGUCGUAACAAGGUACC
rnacentral:rRNA from 1 species